UGUAUAAAAGGGGUUUAGUGCAUAUAUAAGCUAUCCCAUAAUUUUUGGAUAAUUAUUUGGAGUUGAAAAAAAAUAUUUAUAUUUAAAUAGAUAUAUGGCCCUAAAGGCAUUUAUAGGGCAAAUGUAUAUUUAUAUAUUUUAUUUUGAAGAGAAACUACUUCCAAAAGUUGUAUCAUGGUAGAACAUGAUUUUAUGAAUUUUCUGGGAUUUAUUUGGACCAAUUUGGAGUUCAAAAUCAAAAGAUAUCAAAGGAAUAAGAAAAAACAGAAAAAGAAAAGGGUAAAAGAAAAAAAAAGGAGCAAACAGACCGGCCCGGCCGAAUUGGGCUGAACCGGCCCAACAUCUCGCGCGUGCCCGCAGCCCAGCCAGCCCAGCACCCUCGCCCGCGCGCCCGCACCCGCUGACAAGUGGGGCCCACC
rnacentral:lncRNA from 1 species